rnacentral:rRNA from 1 species
CUGGGAAUUUUGCGCAAUGGACGAAAGUCUGACGCAGCGACACCGCGUGUGGGAUGAAGUAUUUCGGUAUGUAAACCACUGUGAUAAGGAAUGAAAUUUUGACAGUACCUUAUUAGAAAGCAUCUGCUAACUACGUGCCAGAAGCCUCGGCAAUGCGUGGGAUGCAAGCGUUAUCCGGAUUUACUGGGCGUAAAGGGUUUCGCAGGCGGAUUGUUAAGUCUCACUUUAAAGACUGGAGCUCAACUCCAGAUAUGGGUGUGAUACUAGCAGUCUAGAGGGUAUCAGGGGGAACUGGAAUGCUCGGUGGAGGGGUGAAAUCCGUUGAGAUCGAGCAGAACGCCAAUGGCGAAAGCAGGUUCCUGGGGUAUUCCUGACGCUCAGGUACGAAAGCUAGGGGAGCAAACGGG